rnacentral:rRNA from 1 species
AGAGUUUGAUCCUGGCUCAGACUCAACGCUGGCGGCGUGCCUCAGACAUGCAAGUCGAACGAUUAAAGCUCUCUUCGGGGAGUGCAUAGAGUGGCGCACGGGUGAGUAACACGUAAGUAAUCUACCUUCGGAUGGGGAAUAACAGUCGGAAACGACUGCUAAUACCGCAUAAUGCAGCGGCACCUAAUGGUGACAGUUGUUAAAGUAUUUAUACGUCUGGAGAGGAGCUUGCGGCAGAUUAGCUAGUUGGUAAGGUAACGGCUUACCAAGGCUACGAUCUGUAUCCGACCUGAGAGGGUGGUCGGACACACUGACACUGAAUAACGGGUCAGACUCCUACGGGAGGCAGCAGUCGGGAAUUUUGGGCAAUGGGCGAAAGCCUGACCCAGCAACGCCGCGUGAAGGAUGAAGUCUUUCGGGAUGUAAACUUCGUAAGAAUAGGAAGAAUAAAUGACGGUACUAUUUGUAAGGUCCGGCUAACUACGUGCCAGCAGCCGCGGUAAUACGUAGGGACCAAGCGUUGUUCGGAUUUACUGGGCGUAAAGGGCGCGUAGGCGGCGUGACAAGUCACUUGUGAAAUCUCCGGGCUUAACUCGGAACGGUCAAGUGAUACUGUUGUGCUAGAGUGCAGAAGGGGCAAUCGGAAUUCUUGGUGUAGCGGUGAAAUGCGUAGAUAUCAAGAGGAACACCUGAGGUGAAGACGGGUUGCUGGGCUGACACUGACGCUGAGGCGCGAAAGCUAGGGUAGCAAACGGGAUUAGAUACCCCGGUAGUCCUAGCCCUAAACGAUGAAUACUUGGUGUCUGGAGUUUUAAUUCUCCGGGUGCCGUCGCUAACGUUUUUAGUAUCCGC